rnacentral:lncRNA from 1 species
UAUAACCAGGGAAUCACAAAGGAAAGCCCUAUGAUAGCAUUGUAACUUAGUGUGAAGCCAAUAUAAGCCAGCUGGAGAGCACUGAAGGCUUGGAAAAGUGGCUAUAAAGUUACCUAAGAUAAAAUAGAUGUUUUUAUUAAAUAAAAAGAGGAUUUAUUCCUAUGAAAACGUGUGUACUGCAAAACUUGGGUUUUAUCCCAUGUGUUUAAUAUUAUGAAAAU